AUUGAACGCUGGCGGCAUGCCUUACACAUGCAAGUCGAACGGCAGCACGGACUUCGGUCCGGUGGCGAGUGGCGAACGGGUGAGUAAUACAUCGGAACGUGCCCAGUUGUGGGGGAUAACUACUCGAAAGAGUAGCUAAUACCGCAUGAGAACUGAGGGUGAAAGAAGGGGAUCGUAAGACCUUGCGCAACAGGAGCGGCCGAUGGCAGAUUAGGUAGGUGGUGGGAUAAAAGCUUACCAAGCCGACGAUCUGUAGAUGGUCUGAGAGGACGACCAGCCCCGCUGGGACUGAGACACGGCCCGGGCUCCUACGGGAGGCAGCAGUGGGGAAUUUGUGACAAUGUGCGAUAGCCUGAUCCAGCAAUGCCGCGUGCAGGAUUAAGGCCUUCGGGUUGUAAACUGCUUUUGUACUGAACUAAAAGCUUCGGGUUAAUACCCUGAGUCAUGACGGUACCGUAAGAAUAAGCACCGGCUAACUACGUGCCAGCCGCCGCAGUAA
rnacentral:rRNA from 1 species